rnacentral:rRNA from 1 species
UACGUAGGGGGCAAGCGUUGUCCGGAAUCAUUGGGCGUAAAGCGCGUGUAGGCGGCUCGGUAAGUCCGCUCUGAAAGUCCAGGGCUCAACCCUGGGAUGCGGGUGGAUACUGCCGGGCUCGAGUCCGGAAGAGGCGAGUGGAAUCCCGGUGUAGCGGUGAAAUGCGCAGAUAUCGGGAGGAACACCAAUGGCGAAGGCAGCUCGCUGGGACGUGACUGACGCUGAGACGCGAAAGCGUGGG